rnacentral:rRNA from 1 species
UGGUCAAGUUAUUAAGGGUGCAGGGCGGAUGCCUUGGCACUAGGAGCCGAUGAAGGACGUGAUAAGCUGCGAUAAGCUUCGGGGAGUUGCACGUAAACUUUGAUCCGAAGAUUUCCGAAUGAGGAAACUCACUUAGAGUAAUGUCUAAGUAUCAUUAAGUGAAUACAUAGCUUAAUGAGGGGAACUCAGGGAACUGAAACAUCUAAGUACCUGAAGGAAGAGAAAGAAAUUCGAUUCCGUAAGUAGCGGCGAGCGAACGCGGAUUAGCCCAAACCAAUAAAGUUUUCUUUAUUGGGGUUGCGGACAUAUCAUAACGAAGAGGUAUCGUAAUUGAAGAGGUUUGGAAAGACCCACCACAGAAGGUAAUAGU